CUUGGUCAUUUAGAGGAAGUAAAAGUCGUAACAAGGUUUCCGUAGGUGAACCUGCGGAAGGAUCAUUACAGAGUUCUUGCCCAUACGGGUAGAAUCUCCACCCUUGUAAAUAUAAAUAUCUGUUGCUUUGGCGGGACGUGCGCCCAGCGUCCCCUGGUUUCGGCCAGGUGUGCCCGCCAGAGGACCCAAAACUCUGAAUUAUUAUGUCGUCUGAGUACUAUAAAAUAGUUAAAACUUUCAACAACGGAUCUCUUGGUUCUGGCAUCGAUGAAGAACGCAGCGAAAUGCGAUAAGUAAUGUGAAUUGCAGAAUUCAGUGAAUCAUCGAAUCUUUGAACGCACAUUGCGCCCCUUGGUAUUCCGGGGGGCAUGCCUGUUCGAGCGUCAUUAUGACCAAUCCAGUUCGCUGGGUCUUGGGCUUCGCCAUCUGGCGAGCUUUAAAACUAGUGGCGGUGCUCUUAAGCUCUACGCGUAGUAAUUUAUCUCGCUCUAGGUCUUGGGAGAUGCUUGCCAUCAACCCCAAAUUUUUAAGGUUGACCUCGGAUCAGGUAGGGAUACCCGCUGAACUUAAGCAUAUCAAUAAGCGGAGGAAAAGAAACCAACAGGGAUUACCUCAGUAACGGCGAGUGAAGCGGUAACAGCUCAAAUUUGAAAUCUGGCUCUUUCAGGGUCCGAGUUGUAAUUUGUAGAAGAUGCUUUGGGUAUAGCUCUAGUCUAGGUUCCUUGGAACAGGACGUCAUAGAGGGUGAGAAUCCCGUAUGUGAUUAGGCGCUUUUGCCCGUGUAAAGCUCUUUCGACGAGUCGAGUUGUUUGGGAAUGCAGCUCAAAAUGGGUGGUAAAUUUCAUCUAAAGCUAAAUAUUGGCCAGAGACCGAUAGCGCACAAGUAGAGUGAUCGAAAGAUGAAAAGCACUUUGGAAAGAGAGUUAAACAGUACGUGAAAUUGUUGAAAGGGAAGCGCUUGCAACCAGACUCGCAUUCCGUCGAUCAUCUGGGGUUUUCCCCAGUGCACUCGGCGGUAUUCGGGCCAGCAUCGGUUUGGGUGGUGGGAUAAAGGCCUUGGGAAUGUAGCUCCUCUCGGGGAGUGUUAUAGCCCUCGGUGCAAUGCCGCCUACCUGGACCGAGGACCGCGCUUCGGCUAGGAUGCUGGCGUAAUGGUUGUAAGCGACCCGUCUUGAAACACGGACC
rnacentral:rRNA from 1 species